rnacentral:precursor_RNA from 9 species
UGCGCAUUCUGGCAGCACCUCGCGAGGUGUUCUUCGACAGUAUGGCCAAAGCUGGAAACAAGCUGCAGCCGGCUGUCGAAAAAUACCUAGGAGGCUUUUUACAAAGCGCUGUAG